GCAAGGAGAGAGGCAAAAAGCCCAAGUCAUGCUGAAUAGAGCUUUCCUCAUUGAAUCCAAAAAUAUGUGAAGAGUUUUUUCCAUUUAAGCGUGGAACAAAAGUACAGGCCACAGACAAAUAACAGCAAAACAAAAGAGAUAAAGGAUGAGGGCAUCACUGGCUACGUCAGCAUUUGUUAUCCAUCCCUAAUUACCCAGAGGGCAGAAAUUUCCUCUAAUGGCACCUGAUUAAACUUCUAAAUGUUUCAGAAUUAUCCAUAUAUUUGUGCUAAAAAUGAUUUUCAAUCAGUUUUAAGAUCAUUGA